CAAAAAUCCUCAACAAAAUACUAGCAAACAGAACCCAACAGCACAUUAAAAGGAUCACACACCAUGAUUAAGUGGGGUUUAUCCCAGGAAUGAAAGGUUUCUUCAAUAUACACAAAUCAAUCAAUGUGAUAAACUAUAUUAACAAAUUGAAGGAGAAAAACCAUAUGAU